CUCCCACGAUCCACGUCUCUCCUCUGGAUACAAAGCCAAAUCGCUAUAUAGUACUACUAGUAGAUUAGACGCCGCCGCCACCGUGCUGAAAUCUCGAUCUGGCAGCACCGGCGUCAUCCUCGGCUGCGAGCGACAUACCUGGCCACCCCUCCACAUUAUCCCUCCUUCACUCCAGCGCCUCAAAUUCGCCCCCUUCCUGCAAGUUGCGAAGGUCGCUGACAGGGCGUUCAUCCACCUUCGACCUCACAACCGAUCUGACCGCCCCGGAUGCCAUUGCCGCCCGGCCAGAUCGCCAUGGCACUCGACGCCAUCAACGCCUCCACACUUCAGGAGGACCUGACGCCACACGGAUCUGGCUGUCACAAACACCUCCACCGCCACACCGUCUUCCUCGCCAGUCCAGAUCCACUUUUCCCCUAUCUCACUCGUGGUACGGGUGCCAGUCGCAGCAGAGAACUAUGGGGCAUCGACGAUCCAGCCGCCGUCUUGUUUUUUUGUCUCUUCAGGAUGAACAAUGCGGCACUCCCUCCAUCGGGAUCCAACAACGCACGAUAGCUGACUCCAUCUUCCUCCUCAACAAUGUUGUUCCAAAAAAUUUGAAUGUUACAAUCCACACCGUACUCGAUUCUGCAUUGUUGCGUGUGUGCCAAAGUGCUACAUAGGCGACAAGUUUGUUCCCUGUGUGAUUAGGCCCCUCAUCAGCCAAUCAAUGAUUGUUUUGCAGGUGGAGUAGCGCUCAUGCCAGAAUCGAGCAUAAUCUGAAACAGUUGUCAUUCUCUCUAGAUGCUAAUAGGAUAAUAUGCAAGUCGCCUUUGAAGAAAGUCGCGAUGGACAAAGAAGCUUUACAACAACUUUAGUCGCCUUCAAGAAAUUAGGAGAAGAAGGCGACCAAAAAAUGUUCCUUCCUUUGAUGAAGACGGAAGCUGUACAAAUUUGUUUGGGGGCCAAGACAACUCAUUUGUUAAUUUAGUCCUUAGUGCCGAUGCUACUUGUUUCAUCAAGUUUCUAUGUAACUUGUGUUAUUUCGGCAUAUGUAACAUGUGAACUAUGAUUGUCAUGUUCUGUUUUUAAUAAAAACUAGUACAAAUGCCCGUGCGUUGCACCGGGCGAUAAAA